rnacentral:lncRNA from 1 species
GCCACUUCAAUUCAUCGGGUCUGACUAUUCUUCAAUUUUUAAUCAUUCAAUCUUGCAAUUCCAAGCCGUAGAGAUUGUUCUCCACACCAAUAACUACCUCUCCAUCAAAAAUUAGGAGAUUUCACUAUAGAAAUCGCCACUUCUGAUGACCUGCAACUCUCCGGCAGGCUCCAGUUGGUCGGAGAUGGCGUUCCAAUGGUCCAAAUCGCCCAAGAGCAGUGCUAAUCGAUUCCUGCUGAGGAGGUCACGCCUCCAUGCACAUAUUUUCUUUCUCAAAAAGCAUGCAAAUAUUUUCGAUAUAUUGCCCAUUCUCUAAUGCUGCACACCACCUACUUCAACAAAUUAUUAGAUAAUUUGUAUGAUAAACUAGAUAAGCGAUAGCCCGUGCUCAUGGCAUAUUAAAUGUCUUUAACAUUUUAAUAAAAUUCGUCACACCAUUAACUGGUAAAACUGAAGUUUAGCGACUGGAAUUAAAAAUGUAUGAAAAACUGAAAAAAAUUAAAAGGAGUUACAGAAGUACCAAGGAAAUCACUAACUAAAUAGUGAUACAUAGCUGGAAACGAUGAAUGUUUCAAGCAUUUAUAUUGGUCGACUCUCUGUUAUCCAUGAGGUCGAGGGUGGGAGUGUCUCAGUUACGAGAAUUAACGUAUUCCCUUGAAGCAACCUUGAGUCGUAUUGUUCGCUUAGUUUAAUAUCCAUAACUCUGAACCACGAGCUAAGAAAAUUUUCUAUACCUGCUAUUAGCAUAUGCAACUCGAGUGUCACAGGAGUAUUUUAACCUUUUUCAUAUUUAUCGGAUUCCUUUGAUUUGUGUUACCAGUUAUCACCAAUUAGAACCAAGCUAAAAGUUAAAAAUUGUAAGACGCCAUAAUUGAAAUAAUUGCUAGCUAUUAAUAGCAUUACGAUCUAAUAAACAAAGAAUUGCAUAAGUGGGAGCAUACAAUAUGUCCUUGUAAAAUUUCAGUCGAUUAAAAAAUGAAGAAUUUCCCCGUUGGUCCUUGAAAUAAUGAAUUGAUUGGCAUCUCUUAACCUGCAAAGUUCAGGUGAAAUGAAAAGGAAUUAGAGGCUUCAAUGCAUUAAACUUAUCACAAUCAUAUUCAUAAAAAAUAUGCACGAAAAGUAUAAUUUGCAGUGGCUUUCUCAGUGAUAUAGAAGCAUGCAUGUUUCUUUGAAACCAAAUUAAUUAUGCUUUAAAAGAUCGAAUCAUUCUGUUUCACUUGCCUAAAUUGAUCAGUGAUAUUCUCUGUAGUGUGAAGGCUAAUGCAUUGAUCAGGGUAAACGUUAGAAAGCAAUUCAGCUCAUCCACGGCCAUUAAGGCCAAAGUUAUCAUUAUAUAUCUGAUACCGAACUGCCAAGUUCAGUUCAUUUACGAUAUUAUUUUAUUAAAUAAUCUGGUUAGUUCGAAAAAUAAUCUGGUUAAUUCGUCUAUCAAAUUCAACUUCUUAAUAAUUCAAAUCUAGUUUCCCUUUAUCAUAUUGUGCAAAAGAUGAUUAGGUAGAGAAAUAAGUGAACACAACUAUUGAAAGCAAAAGGAAGCAUUAUAUGCAUUGCUGCUGGAACAUACCCGUAUUGGUGAUAAUUAACUGAAGAACAUAUUCUAGAAGACGAUCUAGAAUCUCCAUUUCCUAUGAUGCCACAUUUGAAGCUUUUUUAAGUAGAGGAUGCAUUCACGGGAUUAAGAUUGAGUAUCGCACAAAGAACAAUUAUGAAGUGAAGGAAGAAGAGCUCAAUGAAGGCAAAGAGAAAGAACCUUUUAAGGUUGUUGAAGACAACAUUCUGGCCAAUCUUGCAGUCUAUGCCAAAAUAAUUGUUAAACCUGUCAAGAAUUCCAACAAAAGUUGAAGUUUGGUUUGAAAUGUUUAAAUUCAUUUGUAUAGUGUACUACUGUGUGCGAGCUCUUUCCAAGCUAUCAUUGAAAGAAUCUCAAUAAAGAACUUCAAUAAAGAGAUAACAAGAUUCGCUUAUCAAAUACCUAUGCCAAAACUAAUGAAAAUGUUACUCAAGACAUGGAUGAUGUGUGAGGCAUAAUUACCGAGAAUUUUAUGACGCUCAAAUGUCAAUGAAAAAGCUAUUAAAUGAUAAAAGUAAUUAACUAAACAAGAGAAAUGCAUCAUCCCCUGACUUAACAAUUUUAGGGAAACUCUAAAUUUUCAUGGAGGCAUCUAGAAAAACUUUGUUCUUCAAUGAGAAAGAAGCACGUUUCAUUUGCCAAUUUUGAUUUAUAAUUUAUUUUUCUUGGCUAGGCUACACAUCAUUUCCAUCUUUAUUAUGAUUUUCUCGGUUUACAGCAUAUGCACAUAUAUAAAAAGAUUGUUUACAUGUCGACAAUAACAUAUAUAGUCUGAUGGUAUCAAAGGUCAAAGAUGUCAAAUAGAUCACCACUACCAAAAAUCACGAGGCUGAAAGAGUAGUUCAUGAGUAAAAAUGGCCCAUUCCAUUGCUAAGAUUUNNNN